rnacentral:rRNA from 1 species
AGUGAACGCUGGCGGCAGGCCUAACACAUGCAAGUCGAACGGGAGCACAGUAAGAGCUUGCUCUUACGGGAGGCGAGUGGCGGACGGUUGACGUAUAUUUGGAAAUCCCCUUUGUCGGGGGGGAAAACGUAGGGAAACUUACUCAAAUACCACAUACGACCUACGCGUGAAAGCAGGGGCUUUUCGGACCUUGCGCGAGGGAAUGAGCCGAUGUCGGAUUAGCUAGUUGGCGGGGUAAAGGCCCACCAAGGCGACGAUCCGUAGCUGGUAUGAGAGGAUGAUCUGCCACACUGGAACUGAGACACGGUCCAGACUCCUACGGGAGGCAGCAGUGGGGAAUAUUGGACAAUGGGCGCAAGCCUGAUCCAGCCAUACCGCGUGGAUGAAGAAGGCCUUCUGGUUGUAAAGCCCUUUUGUUGGGAAAGAAGAGCAGCAGGUUAAUACCCCGCUGUUCUGACGGUACCCGAAGAAUAAGCACCGGCUAACUCCGUG